rnacentral:rRNA from 1 species
UACAGAGGGGGCAAGCGUUGUUCGGAAUUACUGGGCGUAAAGGGCGCGUAGGCGGUUCGUUAAGUCCUGUGUGAAAUCCCCCGGCUCAACUGGGGAACUGCACAGGAAACUAGCGGGCUUGAGUUCGGGAGAGGGAAGCGGAAUUCCGGGUGUAGCGGUGAAAUGCGUAGAUAUCCGGAGGAACACCGGUGGCGAAGGCGGCCUCCUGGACCGACACUGACGCUGAGGCGCGAAAGCUAGGGGAGCAAACGGG